rnacentral:rRNA from 1 species
UACGUAGGGGGCGAGCGUUGUCCGGAAUCAUUGGGCGUAAAGCGCGUGUAGGCGGUCCGGUAAGUCCGCUGUGAAAGUCAAGGGCUCAACCCUUGAAAGCCGGUUGAUACUGUCGGGCUAGAGUCCGGAAGAGGCGAGUGGAAUUCCCGGUGUAGCGGUGAAAUGCGCAGAUAUCGGGAAGAACACCAACGGCGAAGGCAGCUCGCUGGGACGGUACUGACGCUGAGACGCGAAAGCGUGGGGAGCGAACAGG